ensembl:lncRNA LINC00240 long intergenic non-protein coding RNA 240
GAAGGGCUCCUGAAGCGCGGCCAGAGUGGGCUGAGGCCGAGGAGGCGCCGAGAGCCAGCGAGGGGAUGCCAGCAAGCUGUCACCUCUCAGAAAUACAGGAAGAACAUCAAUAAUGUUCGAAGUUAUAAAUUGCGGAGGCCAGAAGUCAGAAAACAAGGUGUCUGCAGGACCAACCUCUCCUCUGGAUGCUCUAGAAGCCUGAGCCUACUUCAGUCUGGAACCACCUAGUCUUCAGGUUUGCCUGGUGCUCACCAGCUGAAGAAAUCCUUUAACGACCUUUAUUCAGUCAAGUAAAUUGUUUUCUUUUGGCAACUUGCAUGUUAUUUUUUAGGUUUUCAUUUAUUUAUUUUUUUAUAUUUAAAGUCAUAUUUUCUUCCUUUUAUUCACUUUGCUGGUCUUUCUCACUUUGAUUUUUUUUUGCCUUGUUUUGCAUUUGUUUACUUUAACAUUUUUUGUAACUUAUCUCUUUUAUUUUGGAAAUUAUUCACAUUAUCAGUUUUCUUUUGCUAGGCAAUUUUGAUAUUCUAAUAAACAUUAUUAACAUAAAAUAUAAAGUUUACUAACACCAAGCCCAAACAAUACAAAGUCUUAGGGCUCUUUAAUUGCAAUUAUUUAAAAAUAUUUGCUACAAAUUGUUCAUUAUUUUAUAUUUACGUUGUUUUUCUUAUUCCCACAAAUCACAUAUUGUUGGUGUGUUUGUUAAAUAAAAAUCUUUAAUUGC